UCCGUUUCCACGCCUACGUUUAUAAUUAAUGGACCGCUCGUUGCGCCUAUUAUACAGCGCCGUGUUGCACGUCCGCUUAGACGUUUUUGGAUUAACUAUUAUUAGACUAUGGAUCUGUGCACAGACUUAAUAUUCUUAAGAAGAGAUAUCUCGUUUCGUUUGUUGAAACGUUACGUUGCAUAAUGAUACACAGGGUGACUGUACUUUUUCCUGUGGAUCUAUGCCAGCGUAUGCUACGUGUCGAGAUGAGAGAAAAAUGUCGUGUACACGCUUUUCAAGGAGGUGGAAUCUGGUUAAAAGAU
rnacentral:misc_RNA from 1 species